CCCUCUCGCGUGUUCCCGCAACCAGAGCCGCCGGCCUCUUCUUCUCCGUCGAGCCACAACUGCCGAGCUCCCUCUUCUCCAUGCCCUAAACACCUCACGCGACUCUUCCUCUCGCGAUCUCCUCAUCAAAAUCGCCGAGUCACAGCCGACGAUCUUUUCCCCUCGCACGAGCACCACAGACCACAGCCGGCGACCUCAUCCCUCUCGAGCCACAGCGCCGACCUUCUUCUCUGCGGGCCGAGCCCUAGCUUUGGGCAACACCACCAUCACCUUCAACCGAGCCUCUUCUCAUCGGUCGAUCGCAUGAUGUCGUUCCCUAGCUGCAGCCACCAAAUCCUUACCUUCAGUUGCCAAUCCAGCUUCAAGACCAGUGCUGGACUUGAAUCCCUGGUCCGACAGGAAAUUUCUAACUAGGCAUAGUUGAUCUGGCAAUGUGACCGAAAGAUUUUUCCUUGUGGUGAUCCCUGUGGUGUGGAGGAUUGUUGUUACAGAUAUGGAUUGAGGUAAGUUAUGGUGGAUUCAUACAUGUAGAUUCAAAAUGGAACAGUAUAGUUGUUAAUUAGAUGUUAUGGAUAAUGAUUAGUUGUUUUGAAACAUGGAUUAGAUAACAGCAUGAUUUAGGGAGAUUUGAUCUUUUAUUUAAUGGAUCGAUUGAUGAAUGAGUGUUUAAUAGUUGAGUUUGAUGAGUACAUGAUUAUAAUCAGAAUCUUUGGAUUGAUAAUGUAAUUAGUAGUAAUGGUGGGAUUUAUACGGCUUCUGUUGGUAGUAUUAAAUAAAUUGUAGCUAAGGAUUUGUUGUGGUUUCGGUCCGGAGUUUCUAGUAGCAAGCUUCUUUGGAUGAGUCGACAUCGAGGUCUUUGGAUUUAGGCAGGUUUAACUGGGGUUUCUUGAUUGAAUUUGGAUUUAGGUAGCUAUUUAAUGUAUGAAGGGAUUUGGUUGUAAUCGUAUGGUUUAUUGUAGGACACUGAUACGAGACAAGUGUUCAGAAGUGAAGAAAGUACAACACGAUCUACAGUUAAAGGCGGUUACUUCUCACCUUGAUCCUGUAGUUCUUUGAACUUAGUGCAUGAGCUAUCCUUGGAUAGAAAUUGCUUUUACCUUGACUCCACUCUUAUUUAUCUUGCGCUUGAUACUUCCACUCGAUCUUGAGAUAUUCAUUUUUUUUACAUCUAUACAGUCUCCCGUUGUUAUUCAUGAUAUGUAGCAGAUACUAGAUACCAUGUUUGUAUGUUUUGAUUGUUGUUUACUUAUAUAUCAUAUCGAGCAUGCUAGCCUUAUACCUGAUUUUUUUGCUUAUGUUUAUACGAUGUCUGUUGCAUUUUGCGCAUCAUAUCAUUGCAUGCAUGUCAACGACAAAUUCUCCCUUGCAGUCGAGAGAGUGGUUGACCAUGGUCACAUCCUCGGCCACUCAAGAGAGUGGCAGCUGGAGUAGAUGCCGCUUGUCCUGUCGUGCCGCACUCGACCACACAUGGGUAGUGAUAGCUGGAGUUGCGAGCAGCAGUGACCCCCUUCGCUUUGUAGCUUGAUAGCUACUUAGCACCUGUCCAUCCGGUCACUUGAGAGUAGUGGCGGCCUUUGGGUCGUACAAUUGUCAUCGAUCUGGCCUCUCGACCAUACAGGGGUCGUGGUACAGAGAGGUGGGCGGGGUGACCAUCCGUGCAUACACUGUUAUUAUUAUACUUGCUGAUGAUGAUACUUACUUAUGUUGAGAUAUACACACGUAGUACGUGGUUAGACACUGGCUUAUUUAUUGGUAAAAUGGAUACAUCUUACAUAUUAUCUUGUAGUUAUAGCAGUACUGUAGCAGGUUUGUGCCACCCCUGACCUUCUAUUAUUAGCUUAGGAUAUGACUUCAGGUAUGAACAUUUAUGUUAACAUCAUGGUAUUAUCUGUUAUUUCUUUUAUGAGACUGUAUGCUUUUGGCUCACUUUCUAGUUGUAUGUUAUGUUCAUGUACUAUCUUUCCUUACCCACUGAGUCCCUGUACUCACCACCUCGUAAACUGAUUUUUUUCGCCAGAUAGCAGUAGAUGAAUCAUGGAUGCUUGGAGAGAUGUCGGCUGCCAGUCCUGGGUCCUGUGUUAUAUCGGUUUUAUUUCUGUUUUGUAUUUUUAGUAUACAACGGUUUUAGUAUUGUAUGAAUUGGUCUGUGUUUGGAGUUUGAUUCGUGGUGUUUUGCUUUCGUGAUCUUGUGGUUUUGUAAGCCUAAUUGGCUAGUAAACUUUAGUUAUGGAUUGUGGGUUUUCUCUUCA